CGCUGGCGGCGUGGAUAAGACAUGCAAGUCGAGCGAGAUUUUUUCUUGUAGCAAUACAGGGAAACGUCUAGCGGCGAACGGGUGCUUAACACGUGGGCAAUCUGCCGAGAAGUGGGGGAUAGCUCGCCGAAAGGCGAAUUAAUACCGCAUGUGAUUAGAGUGGACAUCCAUUCAAAAUCAAAGUCGGGGCAACCUGACGCUUUUUGAGGAGCCCGCGGCCUAUCAGCUAGUUGGUGAGGUAACGGCUCACCAAGGCUUUGACGGGUAGCUGGUCUGAGAGGACGACCAGCCACACUGGGACUGAGACACGGCCCAGACACCUACGGGUGGCAGCAGUCGAGAAUUUUUCUCAAUGGGGGAAACCCUGAAGGAGCGACGCCGCGUGGAGGAUGAAGGCCUUCGGGUUGUAAACUCCUGUCAUUUGGGAACAAGUCGUAAAUAUUAACUGUAUUUGCGUUGAUAGUACCAGAAGAGGAAGAGACGGCUAACUCUGUGCCAGCAGCCGCGGUAAUACAGAGGUCUCAAGCGUUGUUCGGAUUCAUUGGGCGUAAAGGGUGCGUA
rnacentral:rRNA from 1 species